rnacentral:rRNA from 1 species
CCUACGGGAGGCUGCAGUGAGGAAUAUUGGUCAAUGGCCGAGAGGCUGAACCAGCCAAGUCGCGUGAGGGAAGACGGCCCUACGGGUUGUAAACCUCUUUUGUCGGGGAGCAAAGCGAGUCACGUGUGACUCAUUGAGAGUACCCGAAGAAAAAGCAUCGGCUAACUCCGGGCCAGCAGCCGCGGUAAUACGGAGGAUGCGAGCGUUAUCCGGAUUUAUUGGGUUUAAAGGGUGCGCAGGCGGAGGUGCAAGUCAGCGGUCAAAUUUCGGGGCUCAACCCCGUACUGCCGUUGAAACUGAAGCCCUUGAGUGCGCGAGAAGUAUGCGGAAUGCGUGGUGUAGCGGUGAAAUGCAUAGAUAUCACGCAGAACUCCGAUUGCGAAGGCAGCAUACCGGCGCGCAACUGACGCUCAUGCACGAAAGCGUGGGUAUCGAACAGGAUUAGAUACCCUUGUAGUC